CGGCGGACGGGUGAGUAACACGUGGAUAACCUACCUAUAAGACUGGGAUAACUUAGGGAAACCGGAGCUAAUACCGGAUAAUAUAUUGAACCGCAUGGUUCAAUAGUGAAAGACGGUUUUGCUGUCACUUAUAGAUGGAUCCGCGUCGCAUUAGCUAGUUGGUAAGGUAACGGCUUACCAAGGCAACGAUGCGUAGCCGACCUGAGAGGGUGAUCGGCCACACUGGAACUGAGACACGGUCCAG
rnacentral:rRNA from 1 species